rnacentral:rRNA from 1 species
CUACGGGCCGCUGCAGUGAGGAAUAUUGGUCAAUGGACGCAAGUCUGAACCAGCCAUGCCGCGUGAAGGAAUAAGGCCCUAUGGGUCGUAAACUUCUUUUGUAUGAGAGCAAUAAGGUCCACGUGUGGAUCGAUGAGAGUAUCAUACGAAUAAGCAUCGGCUAACUCCGUGCCAGCAGCCGCGGUAAUACGGAGGAUGCAAGCGUUAUCCGGAUUCAUUGGGUUUAAAGGGUGCGUAGGCGGCUUGGUAAGUCAGCUGUGAAAUGCCAGUGCUCAACAUUGGACGGGCAGUUGAUACUGUCGGGCUUGAAUGCGGAUGCCGUGGGAGGAAUGUGUGGUGUAGCGGUGAAAUGCAUAGAUAUCACACAGAACACCGAUUGCGAAGGCAUCUCACGAAUCCGCAAUUGACGCUGAGGCACGAAAGUGUGGGGAUCAAACAGGAUUAGAUACCCCCGUAGUC